rnacentral:rRNA from 1 species
UGCGUAGGCGGCUUCUUAAGUCGGAUGUGAAAUCCCCGAGCUUAACUUGGGAAUUGCAUUCGAUACUGGUGAGCUAGAGUAUGGGAGAGGAUGGUAGAAUUCCAGGUGUAGCGGUGAAAUGCGUAGAGAUCUGGAGGAAUACCGAUGGCGAAGGCAGCCAUCUGGCCUAAUACUGACGCUGAGGUACGAAAGCAUGGGGAGCAAACAGGAAUAGAUACCCUAGUC